UGAGCAGCGACAAGUGCUAAUGAGUGACAGCUUCGGAAGCAGGGAGAGGUGGCCUUUUAUUUUGCUGUUCUGUGGCUACCCCUGCAGGUCAUAAGCAAUCCAGUGAAAAUGGAACUGUCCCUAUAUACCUGAAUAGCACCUGGCAUAGUGAGCCAUCACAUCUGACUUUGCUUUGUGUGGCUUCAUAGCACAUUUUCCCACUGAAGACCUGAUUAUGUAAAAAGAUACAAUUUUGUUAACCUCUAUAUCAAUCCUAAACUCAAAAUAUUCCUACUCUGUGCUAUCCACCUAAUUUACUGAAAAACCACCAUCUGUAUUUUAGUCCAUUUUUCCUGUGGAAAUUAAGUUAGGUGUUUAGUCUG